GCCUGGGUGGCUCAGUCAGUUGGGCAUCUGACUUCAGUUCAGGUCAUGAUCUCUCACGGUUCAUGGGUUCAAGCCCCGCAUCAGGCU
rfam:Felis catus isolate Cinnamon breed Abyssinian chromosome C1, whole genome shotgun sequence.